rnacentral:rRNA from 1 species
AGCAGCCGCGGUAAUUCCAGCUCCAAUAGCGUAUAUUAAAGUUGUUGCAGUUAAAAAGCUCGUAGUUGAAUUUCGGGAUCAGUACGCCGGUCGUGCCUUCGGUAUGCACUGGUGUCACUGAUUCCUCCCUUCUGAAGAACCGUUAUGCCAUUUAUUUGGUGUGGCGGGGAAUCAGGACUGUUACUUUGAAAAAAUUAGAGUGUUUAAAGCAGGCUCGCGCUUGAAUACAUUAGCAUGGAAUAAUGAAAUAGGACGUUUGAUUCUAUUUUGUUGGUUUCUAGGAUCGACGUAAUGAUUAAUAGGGAUAGUUGGGGGCAUUAGUAUUCAAUUGUCAGAGGUGAAAUUCUUGGAUUUAUUGAAGGCUAACUACUGCGAAAGCAUUUGCCAAGGAUGUUUUCAUUAAUCAAGAACGAAAGUUAGGGGAUCGAAGACGAUCAGAUACCGUCGUAGUCUUAACCAUAAACUAUGCCGACUAGGGAUCGGAUGAUGUUAAUUUUUUAAUGA